CGAUGGGGGCGGGGCAGCGUGUGUCCCCCUGGGCUGGCAGGGCCCACCCCUUCCGGGCCCCCAGCGCGUGCGGGUGCAGAGAGAGAGAGAGAGAGAGAGAGAGAAAUGCCCUGGGGCCCUGGGGCCACAGGUCUGCCGCAGGUUGGGUGGUGGGCUUCCCCGCCCCCCGCCGCCGCGGUGCCUCUGUUUGGAGUGUGGGGGUGCCGGGAAGUCAGCAGCUGGGGGGAGGGGUGUGCACCCCGACCCCUGACUGGCGGCACCUGGCAGGGUCUGCACGCCCCCCGCGAGUGUCCCUGUGCCCCGGGGAGAGUGGCAUCAAAUAGAAAGUAAAAGCACCAGGAUGAGCCCAGAGAUAGGCCACAGAAGAAAGGAGAAUACUUAAUAUUUCAGCCCCCUUUCCCUGCUUUUUCAUCAGGGGCCCCAUAUGCCCAUUUGCAUUGGGCCCUGCAAGUUUCGUCACCAGACCUGCGGAGGACGGGAGCCGGCUCGUAAUCGGAGCGCGAGAAAAGGGCGCUCACGGUGACCGAAGACCAAUUCAGUCGUGGAGAUGACAGGCAUCGUCCAGUCUGAGCCGUUCAACGACCACUUUCUGGCAAGCAGCGAGGCCCUAAGUCUUGACUCAAAUUUCAACGCGGUGUAUGUUUCUUCCGGAGCCAAAAGUUCUCGGCAAUGUUUUCAAGUGUUUUGGUCUCGGGACACUUACGCUCCUGAAAGUUACUCAGAGCCCCCGAGGAGGUCCAAGGAGCAUCCCCGACCCCACCUGAGAGAAGAAUGUAGGGCAGGCCCUGUGGAAAGUGGUUUGCUUUAGUCCAGCUAAGCAAUUUAAUAUCGAGACAAGAAAGAGAUUGUUGCUUGCACAUGCAGGUUUUUUCUACGGAGGCGAAAUAUGAUGAUAUUAUUUAUUCAUCAUAUGUACCCUCACCUUUUCCAAAAGGGACCAGAGGCUGCCACGAAAUGAAAUCGAGUUCUCCGACUCAAACUCAGAAUUCUCUUACUGCAGAAAAAGGCAAAGCGGGUUGGGAUUUGUUUUGUCGUCGUUGUUUGCUAUUGCUCUACUUGUCCUCAUUUUUUCUUUCGCCUUCCCAAGGCUACUUCAUCUUCCCAUAUGGACAAUGCAAGAAAUGUUCAAGCGUGCACACUGUUUCGUUACCAUCAGGCAGAGGGACAUUGGUUCUUCACAUGAAAUUGCUGGCCGGCAAUAUAAAUUCACUUUCUAGUAGAUCCCCUCAAGCAGGCAUGAUAUCAUUCAUAUAUCUUAAAUAAAAGAGAGUAUCAAAAAGCUCA